rnacentral:rRNA from 1 species
AUUGAACGCUGGCGGCAGGCUUAACACAUGCAAGUCGAGCGGGGUGAUGGUGCUUGCACUAUCACUUAGCGGCGGACGGGUGAGUAAUGCUUAGGAAUCUGCCUAUUAGUGGGGGACAACAUCUCGAAAGGGAUGCUAAUACCGCAUACGUCCUACGGGAGAAAGCAGGGGAUCACUUGUGACCUUGCGCUGAUAGAUGAGCCUAAGUCGGAUUAGCUAGUUGGUGGGGUAAAGGCCUACCAAGGCGACGAUCUGUAGCGGGUCUGAGAGGAUGGUCCGCCACACUGGGGCUGGGAAACGGCCCAGACUCCUACGGGAGGCAGCGGUGGGGAAUAUUGGACAAUGGGGGGAACCCUGAUCCAGCCAUGCCGCGUGUGUGAAGAAGGCCUUAUGGUUGUAAAGCACUUUAAGCGAGGAGGAGGCUCUUUUGGUUAAUACCCAAGAUGAGUGGACGUUACUCGCAGAAUAAGCACCGGCUAACUCUGUGCCAGCCGCCGCCGUAA